UUUAUUGGAGAGUUUGAUCCUGGCUCAGGAUGAACGCUGGCGGCGUGCCUAAUACAUGCAAGUCGAGCGAAUGGAUUAAGAGCUUGCUCUUAUGAAGUUAGCGGCGGACGGGUGAGUAACACGUG
rnacentral:rRNA from 2 species